UACGGGGGGGGCAAGCGUUGUUCGGAAUUACUGGGCGUAAAGGGCCCGUAGGCGGCCAACUAAGUCGGACGUGAAAUCCCCAGGCUCAACCUGGGAACUGCGUCCGAUACUGGAUGGCUUGAAUUCGGGAGAGGGAUGCAGGAUUCCAGGUGUAGCGGUGAAAUGCGUAGAUAUCUGGAGGAAUACCGGUGGCGAAGGCGGCAUCCUGGACCGACAUUGACGCUGAGGAGCGAAAGCUAGGGGAGCAAACGGG
rnacentral:rRNA from 1 species